UUAAGGCAUUCUUUGCACGUCAUUGCAUACUAAGAUUGCAUAUUAUAGGUUUAGAUAAUUUCUCCUAAAUAGAUUGCAUGCUUAUUAGGAAAAUAAAAAUCAUGUGCACGUCAUAUAGAAUUAGUUUCAUACAAUGCACGUCAUUUAGUGAUUUUGUUAGGUGCAUUUAAUUAGAAAUUGCCCGUCAUUAGAAUUAAGUCAUUAGAUUAAUUUAGAUUGCAUAUUUAAAUGUUGCAUUUCUUUAAUUUCGAAUCUCA
rnacentral:lncRNA from 1 species